rnacentral:rRNA from 1 species
GCUGGAAUUGCUAGUAAUGGCAGGUCAGCAUACUGCCGUGAAUACGUUCCCGGGCCCUUGUACACACCGCCCGUCACACCAUGAGAGUUGGAAAUACCCGAAGCCUGUGAGCUAACUGUAAAGAGGCAGCAGUCGAAGGUAGAGCCAAUGAUUGGGGUGAAGUCGUAACAAGGUACC